GGCAGAGGAGUGGGUGUGCUUUCCAAGCCGGGCACCUUCAUCAAAUGACAUCCAGAAUAAGAUGCUGUAUCACCUUCCCAGGACUGGAGAUGAGGCUGACAAACCUGUAGCUUCCUGGCUCCUCCUCCUUGCCCUUUUUGAAGACUGGAGUGGCAUUGGCUUUCCUUCAGUUAUUAGGCACCAUUCCUGUUUUCCAUGACCUUUCAAAGAUGAUAGGGAGUGCGCCAUGAUCUUCCCCAGACCAGAGGUGAGACUAACAGAUUCAUCAGAUGAUGACAGUAAGAAUUCACAACACUGGAAGGACAUUCAUCCUUGAGUCACAAAAUCUACUUAGAAUAAUGAUCUCAUGACACUGUAUGUUGGCAUGGAUUCACUCAUUUUUGAGAACUUGCUGUACAAGCAAGGCUGGAUAUAUCUCAGUGAGAAUUUGUUCCACCUUUUCUGCAGAAGAAGAGAAUACCUACAAAGGGGAGAAAUUGCAUAGAAAGUUCUGACCACUCCCCCCAUCAAAAUGAGUACCAGCUCAGAUGAAAUUUUCCAAUGCAGUAGUAGUAGUUUCAUCAGCAUAUAGGGUCUGCUGUGUAAAAAUAGACUUUUUACAUAAUUUCUAAUACUUUCAUUUUAUCAGUCUUGCUGUAACCUCUUUGUCUUUUAUUGACUCUGUAAGACUAAUAUAUAAUAACUAUAAUACAAAUGGUAUCUAAAUUUUGUUUCUUCUUUCAAGAUAUUGGGAAAUAAUUUAUAAAAUUUAGUUUUAAUGUAAGAAUGAUUUUCAAUGUAAUAAUAAAUUAACUACUAAGAAAAGAACAAA